rnacentral:rRNA from 1 species
UACGUAGGGUGCGAGCGUUGUCCGGAAUUAUUGGGCGUAAAGAGCUCGUAGGCGGUCUGUCGCGUCGGUCGUGAAAACUUGGGGCUUAACCCUGAGCUUGCGGUCGAUACGGGCAUGACUGGAGUUCGGCAGGGGAGACUGGAAUUCCUGGUGUAGCGGUGAAAUGCGUAGAUAUCAGAGGAACACCGUGUGGCAAAGGCGGGCUCUCGGCGGA